AUUGAACGCUGGCGGCAGGCCUAACACAUGCAAGUCGAACGAGUGGCGGACGGGUGAGUAAUGUCUGGGAAACUGCCCGUUGGAGGGGGAUAACUACUGGAAACGGUAGCUAAUACCGCAUACCAUCGGAUGUGCCCAGAUGGGAUUAGCUAGUAGGGGGGGUAAUGGCUCACCUAGGCGACGAUCCCUAGCUGGUCUGAUCGGAUGACCAGCAACACUGGAACUGAGCCACGGUCCAAACUCCUACGGGAGGCAGCAGUGGGGAAUAUUGCACAAUGGGCGCAAGCCGGAUGCAGCCAUGCGGCGUGUAUGAAGAAGGCCUUCGGGUUGUAAAGUACUUUCAGCGGGGAGGCGUUACCCGCAGAAGAAGCACCGGCUAACUCCGUGCCAGCAGCCGCGGUAAUUC
rnacentral:rRNA from 1 species